rnacentral:rRNA from 1 species
CCCUUAGAUGUUCUGGGCCGCACGCGCGCUACACUGACGAUGGCAACGAGUUUUUCCUUCGCCGAAAGGUGUGGGUAAUCUUUUGAAACAUCGUCGUGCUGGGGAUUGAUCAUUGCAAUUUUUGAUCUUGAACGAGGAAUUCCUAGUAAGCGCGAGUCAUCAGCUCGCGUUGAUUACGUCCCUGCCCUUUGUACACACCGCCCGUCGCUACUACCGAUUGAAUGGUUUAGUGAGGACUCCUGAUUGGCGCCGCCGCCCCGGCAACGGAGCAGCGGACUGCCGAAAAGUUGUUCAAACUUGAUCAUUUAGAGGAAGUAAAAGUCGUAACA